UAGGGAAUCUUCCACAAUGGACGCAAGUCUGAUGGAGCAACGCCGCGUGAGUGAAGAAGGCUUUCGGGUCGUAAAACUCUGUUAUUGAAGAAGAACGUGUGUGACAGUAACUGGUCAUGCAGUGACGGUAUUCAAUCAGAAAGUCACGGCUAACUACGUGCCAGCAGCCGCGGUAAUACGUAGGUGGCAAGCGUUGUCCGGAUUUAUUGGGCGUAAAGCGAGUGCAGGCGGUCUUUUAAAGUCUGAUGUGAAAGCCUUCGGCUUAACCGAAGAAGGGCAUCGGAAACUGGGAGACUUGAGUGCAGAAGAGGAGAGUGGAACUCCAUGUGUAGCAGUGAAAUGCGUAGAUAUAUGGAAGAACACCAGUGGCGAAGGCGGCUCUCUGGUCUGUAACUGACGCUGAGGCUCGAAAGCGUGGGUAGCAAACAGGAUUAGAUACCCUGGUAGUCCGCGCCGUAAACGAUGAAUACUAAGUGUUGGAGGGUUUCCGCCCUUCAGUGCUGCAGCUAACGCAUUAAGUAUUCCGCCUGGGGGUACGACC
rnacentral:rRNA from 1 species